GCUGAAAGCCAAUGGGAAAAACGAAUAUAUAAAGACAACAGCGUAUUUGAGUGGAAAAAGUAAUUUUUUAGUUCUCAGUCGACUGUCACAUUUCUGUCUUGGCACAACAGCUCUUUUUUUUCGUCUUGUUCAAACAUGAAGACUGUUUCCAUAAUGAUCCUUCUUUUCGCCGUGUUGUCGCUCCUGGUUGGAAUAUACUCGGCUCCAAUUACCCUCAUAGUUGGCACACCGUUUCUUUUCAAUAAGUUCGACUAUAAAGUCGAUCCCAAUCGAGGAGCUGAACUCUCGCCUGCAUUCCAGGCACAGUACGGAACGCUAGGAGCUGAUCUAAUCAACUUCUAUGGCCAGGGCAAUACACCGAGACAACUAUAAAAACACAAAUGAUCAAAUUAUUAAAUUUUUGAAAGCCAUUUUUAAAUUGCCAAUGCUUGUACAAAUACAUGACUUUUAUUUUGUUUAA